AGCAUUGACAAUGGAUGUCUCAGCUGUACACACGAUGAAGAACAUUGCAUAAUGUGAAAAGUGACAGGAGUUGCUUACGUUGUGACUGUUCAAUUUUCGAAUGCACAUGAAUUCAUUCUUUUUUAAAGAAAUGAUACCUUUAAUAUAGUAACCCCA
rnacentral:rRNA from 1 species